UCAGAAAACUUUCAUGCUUUAAGUGAUGAAACCAACACAUAUCUUGGCUUUAGCACGUUAACCUAUAGACGUGCUUUGAUCUCACCACAACACAGAGGGACAAACCCAAUUGGUCUCCGUGAUGGAACACAAAAGCACCCAGAGCAGACGACCUCAAGAAACUGCCAUUUGUGGCCUGUCUGCUUGACCUUUGCCUGCACAGGAAGCUGAUGUUUGUCUACAUUAGCAGCUCGGUCUCCUGGAAAGACAGACCAGACGGACAAACAGGAAGCAGCUGUUGCCAGGGAAACAGGCUGCGGAGCGUGGGAGAGAUUGUGAGGUAAGAAAGGAGAACAAAUUAAGGAAAAAAUAGAUCGAGGGAAUGAAGCCGAGCUGGAGAGAUCUAAUUAAAUUCUGACAGCGAGGGAAAAAGGCCAUGUGUGUGUGUACCUGCGUCCAUGGCUGGGAAUAGAUUGAAUGACGCAAGGUUUAUUCAUGACAUUUGCAGAAACAAUGAGUUAUUCAUAGUGGACUGGAGCAACGGAACAUUUCUGACAGCCAACAUGGAAAAAUUUGAGAUUUAUCCAAAUCAGCACAUGCUCCCAAAUCAACAGUCCCAUCAACCAAUCAGCUUUCAGAGGUAUGUUUAGAACUGUGAUUGGUGUCUU
ensembl:lncRNA